rnacentral:misc_RNA from 1 species
UUUCCGUAGGUGAACCUGCGGAAGGAUCAUUCAUAAUAAGUGUUUUAUGGCACUUUUUUAAAUCCAUAUCCACCUUGUGUGCAAUGUCAGGGUUGAUUUUUCUCUCGAGAGGAUCAACCCCAAACAUCAACUAUAUCUCAACUCUUUGUCUGAAAAAUAUUAUGAGUAGAACAAUUCAAAAUACAACUUUCAACAACGGAUCUCUUGGCUCUC